GCACAAGCGGUGGAUGAUGUGGUUAAUUCGAUGCAACGCGAAAACCUUACCUACCCUUGACAUGUCCGGAAUCCUGCAGAGAUGCGGGAGUGCCCGAAAGGGAAUCGGAACACAGGUGCUGCAUGGCUGUCGUCAGCUCGUGUCGUGAGAUGUUGGGUUAAGUCCCGCAACGAGCGCAGCCCUUAUCAUUAGUUGCUACGCAAGGGCACUCUAAUGAGACUGCCGGUGACAAACCGGAGGAAGGUGGGGAUGACGUCAAGUCCUCAUGGCCCUUAUGGGUAGGGCUUCACACGUCAUACAAUGGUCGGUACAGAGGGUUGCCAACCCGCGAGGGGGAGCUAAUCCCACAAAGCCGAUCGUAGUCCGGAUCGCAGUCUGCAACUCGACUGCGUGAAGUCGGAAUCGCUAGUAAUCGUGGAUCAGCAUGUCACGGUGAAUACGUUCCCGGGUCUU
rnacentral:rRNA from 1 species